GUGCUUGCUUCUGCAGCACAGUAAAAAUUGGAAGAUACAGAGAAGAUUAGUAUGGUCCCUGCACAAGGAUGGCAUGCAAAUUCAUGAAGUAUUACAUAAUAUA